rnacentral:rRNA from 1 species
UAGAGUUUUGAUCCUGGCUCAGGAUGAACGCUGGCGGCGUGCCUAAUACAUGCAAGUCGAGCGAACAGAUAAGGAGCUUGCUCCUUUGAAGUUAGCGGCGGACGGGUGAGUAACACGUGGGUAACCUACCUAUAAGACUGGGAUAACUUCGGGAAACCGGAGCUAAUACCGGAUAACAUUUAGAACCGCAUGGUUNUAAAGUGAAAGAUGGUUUUGCUAUCACUUAUAGAUGGACCCGCGCCGUAUUAGCUAGUUGGUAAGGUAACGGCUUACCAAGGCGACGAUACGUAGCCGACCUGAGAGGGUGAUCGGCCACACUGGAACUGAGACACGGUCCAGACUCCUACGGGAGGCAGCAGUAGGGAAUCUUCCGCAAUGGGCGAAAGCCUGACGGAGCAACGCCGCGUGAGUGAUGAAGGGUUUCGGCUCGUAAAACUCUGUUAUUAGGGAAGAACAAAUGUGUAAGUAACUGUGCACUCCUUGUACGGUACCUA